CCACAAGGGGUGAAGCCUGCGGUUCAAUUGGAGUCAACGCCAGGAAUCUUACCCGGGGAGACAGCAGUAUGAAGGUCAAGCUGAAGACUUUACCAGACAAGCUGAGAGGAGGUGCAUGGCCGUCGCCAGCUCGUGCCGUGAGGUGUCCUGUUAAGUCAGGUAACGAGCGAGAUCCCUGCCCUUAGUUGCUGCAGUUACUCUCAGGAGUAGCUGGGCUAACUAAGGGGACCGCCACUGCUGGAGUGGAGGAAGGAGGGGGCCACGGCAGGUCAGUAUGCCCCGAAACCCUGGGGCUACACGCGGGCUGCAAUGAUAGAGACAACGGGUUCCGAACUCGAAAGAGGGAGGCAAUCCUUAAACUCUAUCUCAGUUAUGAUUGAGGGCUGCAACUCGCCCUCAUGAAUAUGGAAUCCCUAGUAACCGCGCGUCAUAACCGCGCAGUGAAUACGUCCCUGCUCCUUGU
rnacentral:rRNA from 1 species